AUCGAUGUAGCUCAACAGAAGAGCUCCUGAAAGGGAAGGUGGUGGUUCGAUUCCACCUAUCGGUA
rnacentral:tRNA from 1 species